AGUGAACGCUGGCGGUAGGCCUAACACAUGCAAGUCGAACGGCAGCACAGUAAGAGCUUGCUCUUACGGGUGGCGAGUGGCGGACGGGUGAGGAAUACAUCGGAAUCUACUUUUUCUUGGGGGAUAACGUAGGGAAACUUACGCUAAUACCGCAUACGACCUACGGGUGAAAUCAGGGGAUCUUCGGACCUUGCGCGAUUGAAUGAGCCGAUGUCGGAUUAGCUAGUUGGCGGGGUAAAGGCCCACCAAGGCGACGAUCCGUAGCUGGUCUGAGAGGAUGAUCAGCCACACUGGAACUGAGACACGGUCCAGACCCCUACGGGAGGCAGCAGUGGGGAAUAUUGGACAAUGGGCGAAAGCCUGAUCCAGCAAUACCGCGUGGGUGAAGAAGGCCUUCGGGUUGUAAAGCCCUUUUGUUGGGAAAGAAAAGAAGCAGGUUAAUACCCCGAUGUUCUGACGGUACCCAAAGAAUAAGCAACGGCUAACUUCGUG
rnacentral:rRNA from 1 species